GUUAUUAAUUGGGCCCUUCAAAAGAAACUUUGUAACUUUUUCUGCUAUAUUGUGAUGAGUUGAACUUGGACAUGCAUUUGAGCAGUCCGAGCUGUUUCUAAGGCAGCAGUAUUUACUUCUCUUACUGUAGAUAUGUAGCAGUGGCAUCUGUGUUUGUAUUGUGUAUGAAAAAUACCUCAUUGCUUUUCCUUCCUAUUCUGGGUAGCAGAGGCAGCAAGGCCAGUAGCUGAAAGUGAGAUUCUAGGCUCCUACUACCUUCCUUGACCCGGACCCCAGCAUGAACAUGGCCUGUAACUUUACUGUGCCUCACCUUCCUCCUCUGUAAGGGUAAUGACAGCAACAUCCUAGAAUUGCCUUGAGGUUGAAAUAUGUUGAUAUUUUGAAGCACUCAGAAAAGUGUCUGUAAAACAUAGUAACUCAACGUUAGAUAGCAUUCUCAUUAAUUUGUAUUUCCCAAAUCACACAGUGAAAAGGUUGGCAAGCCGGAAUUUAUCUCUCACCUUAUUCCUGUUAGUGCCUUGAUUUGAUUUGGCUGUGUAUCUCCCCAUGGUAGCUCAGGAGCAGAUCCUGAGUAGACAAGGCCAGGGGUUGGUGAACCACAGCCCGUUGGCCAGAUUCACAGCCCAUUUUUGUAGCCUAUAAGCUGAGAUUAGUUUUAUAUUCCUCAAUGAUUGCAAAAAUUAAAUAUUUUGUGACACAUGAAGGUUGUACAAAACGAAAGUUCCGUGUCUGUAACUAAAGCACUUUGAGAACACUAAUACAAACCCGUUUGAUUACAUUCUGCCGGUGAUACCUUCGCACGGUGCUAGUGAGGCAGACCACAUGGCUAGGAGAGCCUGAGACAUUGCUGACUCAGCACUUUACCGCAUAGGUCUCUGUUACUCAGGGCUGCACACGCUGCAGCUGGUCCUGAGCCCACUCUUCAAAAUGUUCUGAUUACAAAUGUGAUGCCACAGCUUUGCGCAGUGGCAGUAUCGUAGCCAAUGAGGUUUAUCCGAGGCGCGAUUAUUGCUAAUUGAAAACAAAUGUGAUGCCACAGUCUAUGGGUGGGUGAUGUCUGUGCAGUAUAUUUAUUUUGUGGAUUGUAUUUAUAUGUGAAAAUGCCUAGGCUUCGAAGUAUUUUUCUCCUAAAAAAAAUGUGGCUUUUUUUUUUUACUUACUGAAUUGUUAUGUUAAAACAUAUUUCUUGAUGGAAUGUAACAAAUAUAUGAAAUAAACAUUGUCUCAACG
rnacentral:lncRNA from 1 species